rnacentral:misc_RNA from 1 species
AAGUCGUAACAAGGUUUCCGUAGGUGAACCUGCGGAAGGAUCAUUACAAAUCCAUCCAUCGUCCUCUUCUGGACAACGUUGCAAACAAACUAACUAUUGAGACACAACACCACACCACAAUUGUACAACAGCUUCUUGCAAAAGAAACAAAAAAAACAAACAAAAGUACAACUUACAACAAUGGAUCUCUAGGCUCUU